rnacentral:rRNA from 1 species
CCCGUUCCCAUACCGAACACGGAAGUUAAGCUCUCUAGCGCCGAUGGUAGUUGGGACCUUGUCCCUGUGAGAGUAGGACGUUGCCAGGCU